rnacentral:rRNA from 1 species
UGAACGCUGGCGGCAUGCCUUACACAUGCACGUCGAACGGUAACAGGUCUUCGGAUGCUGACGAGUGGCGAACGGGUGAGUAAUACAUCGGAACGUGCCCGAUCGUGGGGGAUAACGAGGCGAAAGCUUUGCUAAUACCACAUACGAUCUACGGAUGAAAGCGGGGGAUCUUCGGACCUCGCGCGGACGGAGCGGCCGAUGGCAGAUUAGGUAGUUGGUGGGAUAAAAGCUUACCAAGCCGACGAUCUGUAGCUGGUCUGAGAGGAUGAUCAGCCACACUGGGACUGAGACACGGCCCAGACUCCUACGGGAGGCAGCAGUGGGGAAUUUUGGACAAUGGGCGAAAGCCUGAUCCAGCCAUGCCGCGUGCAGGAUGAAGGCCUUCGGGUUGUAAACUGCUUUUGUACGGAACGAAAAGCCUCUUUCUAAUAAAGAGGGGUCAUGACGGUACCGUAAGAAUAAGCACCGGCUAACUACGUG